GGGCCCGCACAAGCGGUGGAGCAUGUGGUUUAAUUCGAUGAUACGCGAGGAACCUUACCAGGGCUUAAAUGUAAGUUGCAUAGAGUAGAGAUAUUCUUUUCUUCGGACUACUUACAAGGUGCUGCAUGGUUGUCGUCAGCUCGUGCCGUGAGGUGUCAGGUUAAGUCGGAUAACGAGCGCAACCCUUACCCUUAUUUGCCAGCGAUUCGGUCGGGAACUAUAAGGGGACUGCCGGUGAUAAACCGGAGGAAGGUGAGGACGACGUCAAGUCAUCAUGGCCCUUACGAGUAGGGCUACACACGUGCUACAAUGGGGAAUACAGACGGACGCUAAGCCGCGAGGUGGUG
rnacentral:rRNA from 1 species